rnacentral:rRNA from 1 species
UACGGGGGGGGGCAAGCGUUUGUUCGGAAUUACUGGGCGUAAAGGGCUCGUAGGCGGCCAACUAAGUCAGACGUGAAAUCCCUCGGCUUAACCGGGGAACUGCGUCUGAUACUGGAUGGCUUGAGGUUGGGAGAGGGAUGCGGAAUUCCAGGUGUAGCGGUGAAAUGCGUAGAUAUCUGGAGGAACACCGGUGGCGAAGGCGGCAUCCUGGACCAAUUCUGACGCUGAGGAGCGAAAGCCAGGGGAGCAAACGGGG